GCCUGGCUGGCUCAGUCGGUAGAGCAUGUGACUCUUGAUCUCAGUGUAGUGAGUUUGAGCCCCACACUGGGUG
rnacentral:tRNA from 1 species